rnacentral:rRNA from 1 species
AAUUGCUAGUAAUCGUGGAUCAGCAUGCCACGGUGAAUACGUUCCCGGUCUUGUACACACCGCCCGUCACACCAUGGGAGCUGGUAACACCCGAAGUCAGUAGUCUAACCGCAAGGAGGACGCUGCCGAAGGUGGGAUUAGCGACUGGGGUGAAGUCGUAACAAGGUAGC